ensembl:lncRNA
UACACUAGUCAAAUUUGGUGUUGAUCUGUUUAAAAGAGAGUUUAAAUACAAUGCCUGAAAAUGGUGAAAACGGCACAAAACUUCAAUUCAAGUUUAUUUGUAUAGCGCUUUUCACGAUACAAAUCGUUGCAAAGCAACUUUACAGAAAAUGAAGUUUCUGCAAUAUAUUAAGUUUUUAGUUUAAACUGGGCAGGAAAAUAAAAAAUAACAGACUUCCUGUUGGGUUUCAGACUAUGUACCAGGGGACUUUUUUGUAGGUAUUGGUGUGUUACAUGUGUCUACCAAAUUUUGUACAUGUAUGUGAAACAUAGCUUGAGGGGCAGAUGGAUGGAUGGAUGGAUGGAUGGAUGGAUAGAAUGCCGUUUGUAUAAGGGAUCCACCCCUCAAGUGACUUGAUAGCGAGUUGUUUCACAGCAACACAUGGUUUAUUAAAAUGAUGAAUUGCACUCACACUGUCACCUAAGAGGGUUGGGUUACAAAGUGAUGCCCCAGGAGAGAGCCACAUUGUCUAGAGUUUGUUUAUAAACCCUGCCAAUUAACUUCAUAUCAUCUCUGCAUUUUAAAACUUCUGUUAGUUUGCCAGGUGUUGAAUUUUCGAGAAUCAUAAACAAUAUGUGUCAUACAAAUGGAAUUAGACAUAUUAGUCAUCAUUUAAUUUAGAGCUACAAGGAAAUUAACUCUGGUUGGGUGUGACAAUUGCUGUUUUGUAUGGAAUCUUGUUUCUACCAAGAAUCUUGCAAUUGUACAUUCUGAGAGAGAAAAAAGGUAGAAUUGUGAAAUAAAAAAGUGGUACAGUAGCUUUGUUUUGUUUUUUAUCCUGUGGUUGAAACUGGCUUCCAUAGGUUUGUGUAAAUAUGUAAAGGGUUUUAUUAAUUAAUUUAUUAAAGGUUUUUAUUUUAUUAUUACUAUUAUGUUUUUUUGACUGUUUCAGUGGUUAAGCAAAAUUGCCAGCUAAGGUGCUAAAUUUUCCACUUGGUUUAACAUGUUCUACAAAUAUUCUAUUUAUGUUCUGCUGAACUUCUCAACUUUCUGUUCACAGGUUCUCUUUAAGACAGAUAUAACUUCAGAGGGAUGCUUUGGGCAAAAAAACAAAAUGUUCUCUCUGUCACAUGCAGGUUGUUUGAUCAGUUCUGGCGAGAUACUCUAAAAGACACUGUUUCAGCUCUUUAAGAAGAUCUAAGGUGAAGGAUCUUCAGUGCCCUGGAAACCUACCUGUCCACCUCCAAUAAGAUGGCAUCACCUUACUUACAGGAGGAGCUUGAUAGCAGAUCUGGUGAGGACUGUUGAGUGUUUAUAAAGACUAGACU